GGGCCUUUAGCUCAGCUGGUUAGAGCGCCCGGCUCAUAACCGGACGGUCCGGGGUUCGAGUCCCUGAAGGCCCACCA
rnacentral:tRNA from 2 species